rnacentral:rRNA from 1 species
UGGGGAAUUUUGGACAAUGGGCGAAAGCCUGAUCCAGCAAUGCCGCGUGUGUGAAGAAGGCCUUCGGGUUGUAAAGCACUUUUGUCCGGAAAGAAAUCCUUGGCUCUAAUACAGUCGGGGGAUGACGGUACCGGAAGAAUAAGCACCGGCUAACUACGUGCCAGCAGCCGCGGUAAUACGUAGGGUGCAAGCGUUAAUCGGAAUUACUGGGCGUAAAGCGUGCGCAGGCGGUUUGCUAAGACCGAUGUGAAAUCCCCGGGCUCAACCUGGGAACUGCAUUGGUGACUGGCAGGCUAGAGUAUGGCAGAGGGGGGUAAAAUUCCACGUGUAGCAGUGAAAUGCGUAGAGAUGUGGAGGAAUACCGAUGGCGAAGGCAGCCCCCUGGGCCAAUACUGACGCUCAUGCACGAAAGCGUGGGGAGCAAACAGGAUUAGAUACCCUGGUAGUCCACGCCCUAAACGAUGUCAACUAGUUGUGGGGAUUCAUUCCUUAGUAACGUAGCUAACGCGUGAAGUUGACCGCCUGGGGAGUACGGUCGCAAGAUUAAAACUCAAAUGAAUUGACGGGGUCAU